rnacentral:sRNA from 1 species
GGGAGGGGCCGUGGGCGCCCGCGCUUGGUAGGCGACCUGAGGUCGUGGGGACAAGUCAG